GACGAACGCUGGCGGCGUGCUUAACACAUGCAAGUCGAACGGAAAGGCCCUUCGGGGUACUCGAGUGGCGAACGGGUGAGUAACACGUGGGUGAUCUGCCCUGCACUUUGGGAUAAGCCCGGGAAACUGGGUCUAAUACCGAAUAGGACCACGCGCUUCAUGGUGUGUGGUGGAAAGCUUUUGCGGUGUGGGAUGGGCCCGCGGCCUAUCAGCUUGUUGGUGGGGUAAUGGCCUACCAAGGCGACGACGGGUAGCCGGCCUGAGAGGGUGACCGGCCACACUGGGACUGAGAUACGGCCCAGACUCCUACGGGAGGCAGCAGUGGGGAAUAUUGCACAAUGGGCGCAAGCCUGAUGCAGCGACGCCGCGUGAGGGAGGACGGCCUUCGGGUGGUAAACCUCUUUCAAUAGGGACGAAGCGCAAGUGACGGUACCUAUAGAAGAAGCACCGGCCAACUACGU
rnacentral:rRNA from 1 species